rnacentral:rRNA from 1 species
AGAGUUUGAUCGUGGCUCAGGAUGAACGCUGGCGGCGUGCCUAAUACAUGCAAGUCGAGCGAUGAGGCCCCUUCGGGGGUACAUCAGCGGCGAACGGGUGAGUAACACGUGGGCGACCUGCCCCGAAGACGGGGAUAACCGUUGGAAACGGCGGCUAAUACCCGAUGUGCUCGGCAAUUCAUUUUGUCGAGUAAAGCUCCGGUGCUUCGGGAGGGGCCUGCGGCCUAUCAGCUAGUUGGUAGGGUAACGGCCUACCAAGGCGAAGACGGGUAGGGGGCGUGAGAGCGCGACCCCCCACACUGGCACUGAGAUACAGGCCAGACUUCUACGGAAGGCAGCAGUCGGGGAUAUUGCGCAAUGGACGAAAGUCUGACGCAGCGACGCCGCGUGGGCGAUGAAGGCCUUCGGGUUGUAAAGCCCUUUUAUGGGGGAAGAGACAAGGACGGUACCCUAUGAAUAAGCGUCGGCUAACUACGUGCCAGCAGCCGCGGUAAAACGUAGGACGCAAGCGUUAUCCGGAUUUACUGGGCGUAAAGAGCGUUGAGGCGGUUUCGUAAGUUGGACGUGAAAGCCCCGGGCUCAACUCGGGGAGGCCGUUCAAUACUGCGAAACUUGAGGGCAGCAGAGGGAAGUGGAAUUCCCGGUGGAGCGGUGAAAUGCGUAGAGAUCGGGAGGAACACCAGUGGCGAAGGCGGCUUCCUGGGCUGUUUCUGACGCUGAAGGCGAAAGCUAGGGGAGCAAACGGGAUUAGAAACCCCGGUAGUCCUAGCCGUAAACGAUGGAUGCUGGGUGUGGGGGGUAUAGAUUCCCUCCGCGCCGAAGCUAACGCGUUAAGCAUCCCGCCUGGGGACUACGGCCGCAAGGCUAAAACUCAAACGAAUUGACGGGGGCCCGCACAAGCAGCGGAGCGUGUGGUUUAAUUCGAUGCUACACGAAGAACCUUACCUGGGUUUGACAUGCAUGUAGUAGUGAAGCGAAAGCGGAACGACCCUUCGGGGAGCAUGCACAGGUGCUGCAUGGCUGUCGUCAGCUCGUGCCGUGAGGUGUCGGGUUAAGUCCCGUAACGAGCGCAACCCCUACCCUUAGUUACAAGUGUCUAAGGGGACUGCCCGGGACAACUGGGAGGAAGGUGGGGAUGACGUCAAGUCAGCAUGGCCUUUAUAUCCAGGGCUACACACACGCUACAAUGGCCGGUACAAUGGGUUGCCAAGUCGUGAGGCGGAGCCAAUCCCUCAAAGCCGGUCUCAGUUCGGAUUGUGGGCUGCAACUCGCCCACAUGAAGCUGGAGUUGCUAGUAACCGCGCGUCAGCAAUAGUGCGGUGAAUACGUUCCCGGGCCUUGUACACACCGCCCGUCACGUCAUGGAAGCUGGUAACACCUGAAGCCGGUGAGCCAACCUAACGGAGGCAGCUGUUUAAGGUGGGACUGGUGACUGGGACGAAGUCGUAACAAGGUA